rnacentral:lncRNA from 1 species
CUGACUCCCUAUUGUUUGUUGUGUGCAAUUAGGAUCAAUUCCCUCUUCGUUUCUUAGCUAAAGUGCAUGUUUUCUUUGGCUUGGCUGAGGAUGUGUUAAACGGAUGAGAGGAGAGUCUGCCGACGCACACGAUGAGCUGACUGGACAAACUUAUUGCGAUGGGAAAGCCCUCCACACAGAGAACACAAGGCACCCAGAAGCAGCCAGGGAAAAGCUGCCAGCAAGCUUGUGUUGGUCGUACCCUAAGGCUUGUGCACCCCAGAGCCCCAAAUCUCUGAAGAUCCACUAGCCCCCAUCGAUCCCUUUUACAGCUCCUGAAUAAUAAAUUCCAGCCCCCCUCGGUCCCGCACAAAAGCCCGACAGGGCCUGGGGUUGGGCUUAAACCCCACUAAUUACAUCAGCACUGAAAGGAAAUCAUUGAUCAACGGCAUUGUGAGACACUCAACUGCCAACCAGAACUGAAUCAAUGAAAUCAAUGAGCAGCUUCUCAAGACGUCUGACCAUCUGGGUUUCAAAUCAUGUUUUUACACUAACAAUAUGAAGCAGAAUAAAUAAGACAUUUGGGGAACGCUUUAGUUUAAGUAACAAUCCCCACCAUUACCUACUUAUAAAGAAUGAAUGACUUAUUUUACAUCCCUAAUACAACCUGAUACCUAACCUACUACUGUACUAACCCCAACUACUACCACACUGACUAAUAAUAAGCAGCUAUU